rnacentral:rRNA from 1 species
AUUGAACGCUGGCGGCAUGCUUUACACAUGCAAGUCGAACGAGAACGGGUUAUAGCUUGCUAUAAUUGUCAGCUAAGUGGCGCACGGGUGAGUAAUGUAUAGGUAAUAUGCCUCUUACUAAGGGAUAACAAAUGGAAACGUUUGCUAAUACCUUAUACUCCUUAUUAACAGAAGUUAAUAAGGGAAAGAUUUAUUGGUAAGAGAUUAGCCUGUAUUGUAUCAGUUAGUUGGUGGGGUAAUGGCUUACCAAGACUAUGACACAUAACUGGUUUGAGAGGAUGAUCAGUCACACUGGAACUGAGACACGGUCCAGACUCCUACGGGAGGCAGCAGUGGGGAAUAUUGCACAAUGGACGAAAGUCUGAUGCAGCAACGCCGCGUGGAGGAUGACACAUUUCGGUGCGUAAACUCCUUUUAUAUGAGAAGAUAAUGACGGUAUUAUAUGAAUAAGCACCGGCUAACUCCGUGCCAGCCGCCGCCGUAACAC